rnacentral:misc_RNA from 1 species
GGAUAUCCCGCCGGUGCAUAAUAUCUCGGUGUUCUUCCCAAGAUGCGCCGAGAAAUCGGCUGAGUACGUGCUGGGGCUCAUCAAGGCCCAGAAUGAGGACAUCCACACGGCUGCGUGGAAGGUGGUUUCAUGCGGCGCCGAAGACAACGGUCUCAGGCUCAACCUGGGGAUCGAUGAGGCGUCGUAUGUCAGCAUCAAGAGGGCCGGAUUCACAAUCAACUUCCGUUAUAGUUAUGUUACGGUGCGGCCAUGGCGGCAUAAGACGACAGGCAGCAAGCAGUCAGAGUCCCAAGACAUACAAGUCGACGAGGCUACUGACUCCACUGCUGCUCCAGCGACCGAGUCGACCAUGGCGCCACUGAAAGAUCAGCUACCGGAAUUAGCACAGGCACCAGCUCUUGUGAGUGCUCCCGGGCCAAGUGCCACUGACUACGUGCGCACCACACAGGAGCUCCUAGCGGACAUAGGCAGGCUCGAACUCGACAGAGAGGGCGAGGGUGAGGCACGGCUCUCGAACAUCGAGGACGAGCCCCAACUAUGAGCCCAACAGCGCUAACAGUAGCCCAGGUCAACUUGCAUCAUGCGGUGGCCGCCUCGGCGAUCAUUGCAAGCAGGUUUGCCACGGAGGACCUGGGAAUCCUACUGAUACAGGAACCGUGGACCUACAGAGGCCAGGUGAGGGGCCUCAAUCAUAACAACAAUAAGAAUUUCUUACACAGGAUCUGGGCGCGGUCCAAGCUACCUUAAGGGUCAACGGGAAGGAACUGGAGGUGGUCUUAGCUGCAGCCUACUUUCCGGGGGAUAACGCCAACGUGCCGCCUCUUGAGGUACAGCAGCUGCUGGAAUUUUGCCGCAGGAAACGACUUCCGGCGAUUCUCGGCUGCGAUGCGAAAGCCCACAAUAUAGAGUGGGGCAGCUCGGACAUAAACCGUAGGGGAAUACUAUUAUAUUCCGCGUAAGGGUAAAAAAUGCCCUAGUGGAAAGCUGUACGGGAAAUACGUCAAUCAACGCAGUAAGAAAAGGAAGACAACAUACCUUGAACAAAACACACCACCACCUGCUAGUACUAAGACUAAUCCUUCCACCAAAAAUUACGAAGUUCCUGAAAUUGAUUUUACGAUAUGUAGAGCAUUAAAAGCAACUCUCAGCAGAAGCAUUGCAGAUUGGAAUGAAGUCAGAGAUAAAUGGCAAAAGACAUUUAGCUUGCGACAGAAUGACUUAAAGGAACUGACCAACAUUGAUUUUCUCCAAGCCUGGCCCAAAUAUUCUGAUUCGCGGGCUCCUGACUUGAUAAAACUUGACUUUAAGAUCAUGUACCCUGACAAGGAGGAUUGUUUGUAUUCGAAAUGGGAAAUAUUUACGGAAAAAAUUCAACGAUUUUAUGAAACUAAUGUACACAACGAUUUCUGCAAACAGCUCUUUUCUCUUGCUAAAGCUUCAACGAACAAAGAUACGCAAGACUACAUUCUUACAACGCUGCUGAAUGGAGUUCUUCCACCUUCAUCAAGGUUUCAAAGUUCGUGCGGAAAGCUAAGAAAGAAAGCAACAAUAGCAGACUGGCAACAAAGCUUUGUUUUUCGAUUAACUUCAAUCAACGAUUACGAAAGGAAAAUUACUGAGUUGAUAAGUAUGUACUAUUCUGUAGGAAUGACAAUACAGCCUUUUAUAAUUGUGGAAGGAAUAGCUGAGGGUGAUAUAAGAGGAUUUUAUAUAUAUUUUGAUAAAACAUUGUAUAACUUUGAGUCGUUUCUAGAAUGCGUAGAUAUCUGUUUCAAAAUCUUUCACACUCUUUGCCUAAAAUAUCCUCAGGCAUGCGAAACUUCUUGGGUUUUCUUACAACAGUUUUUUUUUUUUUAAUUUAUACUGAAUAUGACUACAAGUCGGCAAAUUUAACGUCUCUUUUGAAUUUCAUGGCAUAUAAUUAAUUGCUUUAAAAUGUUUAUUUGCUUCAAGAGCCACAAAAAAUGUGCAGAAAUUUAUACCUUAAUAUAUCAUUUUAAAGUAGAUCAUAAGCUUUCUACGAAACUUUUACGACUGCAAUGCAAGCAAGAUAACUGUAAUCAAUUAUUUACAAAAAUUUAAAAACACAUACGAACCAAACGUAACUCCAACUGAAGCUAUAACGAUACCAAUUUUAAGUAAUAAUUUAAGUACGGAAACAGAACCUCAAGAUGUUGAUAAUUCAUCAAUGCAAAAUAUUGUUAAUGAAAGUAAAAAUCUAAAGAAAAAGGCACUGUAUUUAUCUUUAAGUUUGUAUACUCAAAACAAUUUGCCCAGGAAACAAGUAAUCGAUAUUCAGACUAUGGUAUCUUCUUUGCUUUUGUCCGUAUCCUUUACUAUUCAGCAUGUAUUAAGCUCAGAGGCUAUCAGUGAUGUCAAUGUAGACUUACAAUUAUUGCUAGAGUUUUGCAAGAACCCGUUUCAGGAAAUAAGUUCCGAAUAUAUGCUUUUUUAGAUAUUAAAGGAGCUUAAUUUAUAUGAACAUCCAAAGACUAUAAUCAUAAAAAAAUCUGUUACUGAAACAACAAUACACGGGAACCCAACCUUUACUCUUAAAUCUUUCGACAUAUAUAUUAUGCCUUUAAAUUUUCAGUUCAAAGCUAUUUUUGAGAUUCCAUGCCUUGGAGAGCACAUUACAGAACACAGAAAGAUACUUGAAAGAAAGUAGUUUACAGAACUUUGUUAGCGGCGAAAUAUUUAAAUCACGAAAAGAUUCAAUCUGAGCUAGUUAUACCAUAUAUUCUUUAUCUUGAUGAUUUCCAAAUCAACAAUGCGCUUGGCAGUCAUACUUACUCGAUAUGUGGAUGCUAUUUUAGUUUUCCGUCAAUGCCAAAACAUCUGUUAUCAAAACUAGAAUACAUUUUCCAUGGAGCUUUCAUUUCAACAAAAACAGUUAAAUGCAGUGGUGUUGAGAACUCGUUUUAUUACCUUGUAGACGAGUUAAAGCUUCUUGAAGAAGGCAUUGAAAUUUUAACAAAAAAUGGAAAUAAAA